rnacentral:rRNA from 1 species
AAUCCAGACUCCUACGGGAGGCAGCAGUGAGGAAUAUUGGUCAAUGGCCGGAAGGCUGAACCAGCCAAGUCGCGUGAGGGAAUAAGGCCCUAUGGGUCGUAAACCUCUUUUGUCGGGGAGCAAAGAGAGUCACGUGUGACUCAUUGAGAGUACCCGAAGAAAAAGCAUCGGCUAACUCCGUGCCAGCAGCCGCGGUAAUACGGAGGAUGCGAGCGUUAUCCGGAUUUAUUGGGUUUAAAGGGUGCGCAGGCGGAGGUGCAAGUCAGCGGUCAAAUUGCGGGGCUCAACCCCGUACUGCCGUUGAAACUGCAUCCCUUGAGUGCGCGAGAAGUAUGCGGAAUGCGUGGUGUAGCGGUGAAAUGCAUAGAUAUCACGCAGAACUCCGAUUGCGGAGGCAGCAUACCGGCGCCCAACUGACGCUGAAGCACGAAAGCGUGGGUAUCGAACAGGAUUAGAUACCCCAGUACU